UAGGGAAUCUUCGGCAAUGGACGGAAGUCUGACCGAGCAACGCCGCGGGAGUGAAGAAGGUUUUCGGAUCGUAAAGCUCUGUUGUUAGAGAAGAACGAUGGUAGGAGUGGAAAAUCUACCAAGUGACGGUAACUAACCAGAAAGGGACGGCUAACUACGUGCCAGCAGCCGCGGUAAUACGUAGGUCCCGAGCGUUGUCCGGAUUUAUUGGGCGUAAAGCGAGCGCAGGCGGUUCUUUAAGUCUGAAGUUAAAGGCAGUGGCUUAACCAUUGUACGCUUUGGAAACUGGAGUACUUGAGUGCAGAAGGGGCGAGUGGAAUUCCAUGUGUAGCGGUGAAAUGCGUAGCUAUAUGGAGGAACACCGGUGGCGAAAGCGGCUCUCUGGUCUGUAACUGACGCUGAGGCUCGAAAGCGUGGGGAGCAAACAGG
rnacentral:rRNA from 1 species